rnacentral:rRNA from 1 species
AAAUUGAAGAGUUUGAUCAUGGCUCAGAUUGAACGCUGGCGGCAGGCCUAACACAUGCAAGUCGAACGGUAACAGGAAGCAGCUUGCUGCUUCGCUGACGAGUGGCGGACGGGUGAGUAAUGUCUGGGAAACUGCCUGAUGGAGGGGGAUAACUACUGGAAACGGUAGCUAAUACCGCAUAAUG